rnacentral:rRNA from 1 species
UACGGGGGGGGCAAGCGUUGUUCGGAAUUACUGGGCGUAAAGGGCUCGUAGGCGGCCAACUAAGUCGGACGUGAAAUCCCCAGGCUCAACCUGGGAACUGCGUCCGAUACUGGAUGGCUUGAAUCCGGGAGAGGGAUGUGGAAUUCCAGGUGUAGCGGUGAAAUGCGUAGAUAUCUGGAGGAACACCGGUGGCGAAGGCGACAUCCUGGACCGGCAUUGACGCUGAGGCGCGAAAGCCAGGGGAGCAAACGGG